UGAGUGAAGAAGGCUUUCGGGUCGUAAAACUCUGUUGUUGGAGAAGAAUGGUCGGCAGAGUAACUGUUGCCGGCGUGACGGUAUCCAACCAGAAAGCCACGGCUAACUACGUGCCAGCAGCCGCGGUAAUACGUAGGUGGCAAGCGUUAUCCGGAUUUAUUGGGCGUAAAGCGAGCGCAGGCGGUUUUUUAAGUCUGAUGUGAAAGCCCUCGGCUUAACCGAGGAAGCGCAUCGGAAACUGGGAAACUUGAGUGCAGAAGAGGACAGUGGAACUCCAUGUGUAGCGGUGAAAUGCGUAGAUAUAUGGAAGAACACCAGUGGCGAAGGCGGCUGUCUGGUCUGUAACUGACGCUGAGGCUCGAAAGCAUGGGUAGCGAACAGGAUUAGAUACCCUGGUAGUCCAUGCCGUAAACGAUGAAUGCUAGGUGUUGGAGGGUUUCCGCCCUUCAGUGCCGCAGCUAACGCAUUAAGCAUUCCGCCUGGGGAGUACGACCGCAAGGUUGAAACUCAAAGGAAUUGACGGGGGCCCGCACAAGCGGUGGAGCAUGUGGUUUAAUUCGAAGCAACGCGAAGAACCUUACCAGGUCU
rnacentral:rRNA from 2 species